UUAGCAGUGAGUUUAUGCCUAAAAUCUUUAUUUAAUAGCUAACAUUUUUGGCAAUCAAUACCAUAUUCAGGUUACAAAAAUUAUGUAUAGUAACAAGGGUCUUAUGUAUGCAAAUAGUCUUGGACAUGCCAGUGCUUUUAAUUUUUUGUUAAUUUUUGAUACACAGAAGUUAAUUUUUUUAACUAGGCCAAUAGUAGCAAGAGCAAGGGGUGAUAAUAUAUGUAUAGAAGCUAUGUAUAAGUUAAUGUUAAUGUAUAUGUUAUAUGUUUCUUUUUUGUUGAUAAGUCACCAUAGCAAUGUUUUGUAUUGCUGUAACUAAAUGACUAGGUGUUUAAUACUGGUUCGAUUUUUGUGGCCUGAGGAUGG
rnacentral:lncRNA from 1 species